rnacentral:rRNA from 1 species
GACGAACGCUGGCGGCGUGCUUAACACAUGCAAGUCGAACGGAAAGGCCCUGCUUUUGUGGGGUGCUCGAGUGGCGAACGGGUGAGUAACACGUGAGUAACCUGCCCUUGACUUUGGGAUAACUUCAGGAAACUGGGGCUAAUACCGGAUAGGAGCUCCUGCUGCAUGGUGGGGGUUGGAAAGUUUCGGCGGUUGGGGAUGGACUCGCGGCUUAUCAGCUUGUUGGUGGGGUAGUGGCUUACCAAGGCUUUGACGGGUAGCCGGCCUGAGAGGGUGACCGGCCACAUUGGACCUGCGAUACGGCCCAGACUCCUACGGGAGGCAGCAGUGGUGCAUAUUGCACAAUGGGAGGAAGCCUGAUGCAGCAACGCCGCGUGCGGGAUGACGGCCUUCGGGUUGUAAACCGCUUUCGCCUGUGACCAAGCGUGAGUGACGGUAAUGGGUAAAGAAGCACCGGCUAACUCCGUG